GACGAACGCUGGCGGCGUGCUUAACACAUGCAAGUCGAACGGAAAGGCCCUGCUUUUGUGGGGUGCUCGAGUGGCGAACGGGUGAGUAACACGUGAGUAACCUGCCCUUGACUUUGGUAUAACUUCAGGAAACUGGGGCUAAUACCGGAUAGGAGCUCCUGCUGCAUGGUGGGGGUUGGAAAGUUUCGGCGGUUGGGGAUGGACUCGCGGCUUAUCAGCUUGUUGGUGGGGUAGUGGCUUACCAAGGCUUUGACGGGUAGCCGGCCUGAGAGGGUGACCGGCCACAUUGGGACUGAGAUACGGACCAGACUCCUACGGGAGGCAGCAGUGGGGAAUAUGGCACAAUGGGCGGAAGCCUGAUGCAGCAACGCCGCGUGCGGGAUGACGGCCUGCGGGUUGUAAACCGCUUUCGCCUGUGACGAAGCGUGAGUGACGGUAAUGGGUAAAGAAGCACCGGCUAACUACGUG
rnacentral:rRNA from 1 species